GAUUAAAAAAAAAAAAAAAAGAACACGCCCGAUCUCAUCUGAUCUCGGAAGCUAAGCAGGGUCGGGCCUGGUUAGUGCUUGGAUGGGAGACCGCCUGGGCAUACCAUUCAUUAAUCU
rnacentral:rRNA from 1 species